rnacentral:rRNA from 1 species
AUACGAAAGGUGCAAGCGUUGUUCGGAUUUACUGGGCGUAAAGAGAGUGUAGGUGGUUUAUUAAGUCGGAUGUGAAAUCCCGGGGCUCAACCUCGGAACUGCAUUCGAUACUGAUAGGCUAGAGUGUGGGAGGGGUAAGCGGAAUUCCGUGUGUAGCAGUGAAAUGCGUAGAUAUACGGAGGAACACCUGAGGCGAAGGCGGCUUACUGGACCAAUACUGACACUGAGACUCGAAAGCGUGGGUAGCAAACAGGAGUAGAAACCCCGGUAGUCC